CAAAUUGCAUUCGGCUCGGUGCAUUUGAUGCACUCCACGCUCAGAACGAGUCAGUUUGGUUUCGGCCCAGCAUGUAAACAUUUGCACUUGGCGGCAACCAGUAGAGUCGAUUUACCUUUACGCAUUGUGUGGUUCCGAUAUUUAAACUGGACCAGAACACAGAACUUUGAGAAAACUUGACGUGUUUUGUGUAAUAUAAACAUUUGCACGAACGACAACGGUGGAGAUGUUGACGCAACAGUCGACUACGGAUAUCUAUAAAAAUAGCGCCGCAGAUAUUAUCAUUUUUUCAUUGGAGAUAAAUUAAAACGCGAUGCUCGAGGAAGUAGCCUCGAUUUUGUGAACGAAACACUUUUAGUUUCUACGGCGAGCUGAACGGGUUAAAUGCAUCGGUGCCGGGCAUGCUAACUAUAAGCCGCUAGAUUUGUUAAGUUUUAACGGUCAACAAUGUUGCUGGUCCGUGAACGUAGUGAUAGUGCCACCUAAUGAAAGGUCGGAAUAGAUAUCAAAUUGAAGGAUUAAGUGCAAAUAGUUUUGAAGACAUUUCCGUCCUGCAUUUGUGUUUCUCCCAAAUUUCUGGUGCACCCAAAGUUUCCAUAUUUGUUGUGUAUUAUUCAGCGCAUGUCGGAAAACUUAAUUUUAUUUUUCAAGUUUCUUUUGCGCAUGUGAUCUCGCGGUUUUAUCAUAUGUUUGCUUACAUAAUAGUAAAAUUAUACAGUGCGCGAUGAACAGUGUGCCUCAGUAACCAGGUAGUUUCGCAGUUUACAACGAAAUCGAUAUCCAUUUCCGAUACAGAAGAUUUAGCUCGAACGAAUUUGAUACAAAAUGUAUCUAAGUUGUUAGCUCGUUACCGGAUUUUGCCAAUCGUAAAUCUUUAUUUUCGCGAUGUAAUUAAAAAUUCAUGUCUGAAAAUAAACCACUGCCCCUCGCGUCGUAGUGUUUUUUGUUUAUUCAGUGAAAAUAAAAUUUAGUGAUUUCAGGUGUCUGCUUCCACCGAUAUUAGGAGGAAAAUGAAAAUUUAAAAUUUCGGAAAUUUAAAUUCAGUUUAGUUCAAUUUUGACGUUUUGGAGCUGCAACAGAUCCUUCGAGCCUCGAAUGAUUUUUGGUGAAGUGAUGAGGACCGUUGUUUGUAGCGUGAAAAAUUAGUGCAUUUAAGUGAAACAGAAAUAAAUAUUGAAUGGAAACAAUAAGUAAUUAUGUAAAGAAAAUUAUCUGAAAAUUAAGUGAAACAAGUGUGAAAAAUAAUAGUUCAAAAUGAACAAGUUGAAAAAUCUCAAAUACAAAACCAGCCCUGAAAAUGGAAGCAUACUCAACAAAUUCGCGAAACGUUACAACACUGUCAGUGCUAAGUUCCUGCGAAAAUCGCCAGGACGAACAGGAAAAACGGCUCCAAUCUCCGGAAGCUAUGACAUGACUGGUGUUGCUUCUGAGGAUCACAAGCUCGAAAUCGGUGCACCAGUUCUCAUAUCAAAAACCACAAUCGAUGAUGACUUAAAAAUCCCAUCUGAAUUAGAUGCCAAACAAAAUUCACGAAUAUCAUCAUCAACUGCAACUGGAAGUGAAACGGAAUACUACACGGAUACGGUUAGCACAAUCCCAUCAAUUGAGCAGGACAUCAAAUUUGAGUUCUACUCUUCGAACGAUAUCCCCACAGUUGUGGAGGAACGAUUGAAUCAAAGUGAUUCGGCCGCCAAUUACUACUCGACCCCCAAGAAGCAAUCUCAACCCGUCCCGCCACGACUCAGAAAAAACCGAUCCCAAUCUGCGCAGAACUUGCACAAAACUGAACUGAAAUUGUUUCUACAAAGAGUUCCGUCUCUGGAAACCACAGGUAGAUUAACUACAGCUAAUUUGGAGAACUGCUAUGAUCUGCCGAGGAAGUCACAAGAGUUUAGCUCGACACCAACCUCCUCAAAGCCAAAAUCAAAUAGCAUCAGCGUACCGAAUACUCCUGAUUCACCGAGCGAUCUGAAGGACUCGUUGAUUAAAAAACGCUUCCAGAGCACAGGCUCCUUGAACCAGCCUCAGCCCUGCCUAAACCGAAGUUCUAGUGGCAGCAAGCAAGGGAACAAUGGGUCCUUGCAAAUGAACACUUCCUUGGAUGAUUUUGAUCUCAAAUCCGUUAGCUUCCAGAGCCUCGACGCAAAGAACCUCUUCCUGUCCAUCGACGAAUUAAACGAAAUCACUCGCCAAAUAAACGAAACAGAACAAUUCGAUUACGAAAUCGACACCGAAUACUGUGAACAUCGAGACAAACUUAAGCCUGACGAACGACGAAUUACUUUGCUCAAAAAUAAAAAUGCGACGCUGAUCAAUUUGAAUCGCAAGAAGGAUCGAAUCAAUCAUGCCUGGUCCGGUUUGAAAACUUGGAUUGGGGAAGAGAGUGGAAAGAUUAAGGAUGUCGUUCAAAAACAUGCCGCAAUGCAACGGGUGGGAGCCCCAGUGAAUCAUUCAACCCCAAUGAGUAGCAGCACAUUGAAGAAAACCACGUUCGAUUCGAGGAGGUCGGCAGGUGGGGUGAGCGUUGCCCCGUCGAUGGUGUCGGUUGCGCAGUCUUUCGCUCCUACUACGGACAGCAACUUUUCGAUUGAUCAGGAGUUUAGUUUCCAGAAUACCUCAACAGGAAAUUCAUCGAGAGCCGCUACCGUUCAAAGGGAUAAUAGUGAUUACCAUCAAGAGGGACAAAAUGGGUUUGAAGAACUGCGUCGAUAUAUCAAACAAGGUGGCGACUUCGGAAAGGACUUGGCAGCUAUUUUGCAGGAGAGAGUUGAUUCUGAACAACUUUAUGCAAAAUCCUUGUCAAAGAUGGCUACAAAGUUGAAUAAAGCAUGUCGUGAAAUCCCAGGAACAAUAGCAGAUGCUUGGCGCGGUGUUGCUAACGAAAUGGAGACACGCAGUGAAGUCCACCGACAAUUCUCGAAUUCACUUAUUGAAGAGAUUGUCAAGCCAUUAAAGAGUGUAUUAGAAACACAACACAAAUCCAGGAAAUCGGUUGAAAGCAGUGUCGAUAAGGCAUCACGGGUCCUUGCUGAUUGGCGAAUCAGUGAAGCAAAAUCCAAAAAGCAGUCACACACUGCCGCUAGAGAGAAUGAGAAGCUACAAGACGCUAUGUUGGACGUGCGGAUUCAACGCUCCCCUUCAUUGGCAAUACUCCAACAUGGAACUCUGUCGAACAAGAAUGGUGCUAACUCCGACAAAGAGACCAAAACAGCUGAGAAAGAUUGUGCGAAACUGGACAACAAACGACGCAAGGCGGAGGAAGCUGUUAAGCGAGCCGACGUCGAAUAUUACACCCUUUGCAUUCGAGCCGAACGGGCCCGUGUUGAUUGGGAGAUGGCGGUACUGAGAGGAUCAAAUGUUUUGCAGAAUCUCGAGAACCUACGGCUCACCAAUAUGUAUAAUUAUGUUUCGUCCUACUUGAGGCUGACAUCUGAGAUGAAUCCAGUGCUCGAAGGUCUGGUAGUGAGACUUGCACCCCAAAUUGAAGGGUGUAAUGUAGGGAAAGAUUUAAAUAUCGUAAAGAACAUCCGAAAAGUCUCAGAAGGACCAAGUGAACAGCUGUUGCCUGAUUUCUAUUGCGAGCAUACAACAUUGGCUAUGAAUAGAGAGAGGAGAAAGCAUGCAAUAGUGAAGCUACUGCAGCUUGUCAGGACGGAUAUUGAACGGGAGCGAAAGUCACGCAACGGUUUGAAGGGUAUCACCUUGACGUUGAACGCACAAGAUAAUCAAAAUGUCGCUGAUAAAUUAUAUCAUAUACGAUCAAUGCUAACAUAUCUUGAAGGAGCUCGAUUCAAACUGCAAUCAGCAUUGUUAGAGUUGGAUCACAAGCCUCGAACUACGCAUCCGCUUGCAUCACACAUUCAGAUAACUCGCGAUCGAACCGGCCUCCAACAAAGCAUCUUAAAAGUCCCAAUCUGGCUCAAAAACAAAGACAACGACGACAUCUGCACAGACAUUGAAACGGAAUCCCAAACCAAUGGCAGCUGCUUGGACAUCAAAAACGACAUCCUCAUCACAAACUUUGACCGAAACCAAUCAAUCAGUCGAAGCAAAAGCACUUCCGAAAUCCUGCACAACAUCCAGACUCAGCCUCAAAUGAAUGGCAAAAUCAGCACCCUGCCGCCGGGAAAAGAUACAUCAGAUGACCCGGACUUCGAUCGCGGCCAAGCGGAUGGCGGUUCGAACCAGCAGGAUUCAGAUUUCGAUGAGUUCAGCUCUCAGGACGAUGAAGACGAGAUAAGACAAGCGAAAAUGGAGAUUCACCAGCAACAGCAGCUUCAAAAGAAUCAUAACGAAAACAAUAACGACGUUAGUGCUAAGUCAAUAGUCAUAAGUAAAUGUAAGGCAUUAUACAGCUACACACCAAAACUAUACGACGAGCUCGAACUGAACCCGGGGGAUAUAAUUGAGGUCCACAUGAAGCAGGAGGAUGGCUGGUGGCUGGGUCAAUUGAAGAAUCGCAUAGGCAUCUUCCCGGCCACCUACGUUGAGGAGUUUAUCUAGGAAUGUUCGCCAAUUCCGCUUACAGAAGCGAGUGUUUUUCUGAAAAAGAGCCACCGGACACCACAUCAGAUUUUAUACCGGUAACAAAGCUAAUAAGGCCUUGCGAAUCAUAGGACAGCAGCUAAUCCGAGCCGAAGUUAAAGUAGCACAAGAUCAUCUUUAUUUUAAAUAGAUUUUUCGGACAUCUAAACGUAGUGGAUUUUAAGCUUUCUGGACCAAUUUAUCAAGGUAUUGUGUACAAUUUUGAGUAUGCCAUGGUGACCUCAAUGUAGAUCUAAACUGCCUUACCGUGGUAUACCAAGUAUCUGCUGGUACCACCACGCCUUUGCCAGUCUCCCUGGCAUUCACAUGAAACCCGAAGCAAUUAAAAACAAUAACGAACAGAUGCAAUAUAGUCUCUAAGCCAAUAUCAUAAUUUCGAGUGGAAACGGAACAAAUAUCCAAUUUAUUCUUCUUUAGUCUUGAUAAAGAACCAAAUAGCUCGUUCGAAUGAUUCUUCUUUUAUUUAGUGAUAAACAAAGAUAUUAACGAACUAAACGAAACAAUGCGGACGUAUUACGAUUGGAACUGUUUUCUCGAUCGUAAAGUAAUGGCAAUUGUUAUUGUUUCACUUAUUUAUUAUGUAAUUUUAGUCAAUUUUAUGGUAAGUUAUCUUUUCGAAAUGUAUAACGAAAUGAUGCUGUUAAUAACUUUGUACCUUAACGAUAAUAACGUGUUAAGUGGUUUGGAGAGGAAGCGCGGAAUGGUAAUGUAAAUAUUGUUAUUCUGAACGGAUAUUUUUACUGACGUGUACAUAAAUAAAUAAUGAUAAUGUAUGAAGA
rnacentral:misc_RNA from 1 species